rnacentral:rRNA from 1 species
GAAGUAAAAGUCGUAACAAGGUUUCCGUAGGNGAACCUGCGGAAGGAUCAUUAAUGAAUUUGUUGACGGGGUUUGAUGCUGGCGUUCCAAUUAUUGGAUGGCAUGUGCUCGCCCUAACAAUCAUUUUCCCUAAACACCCGUGCAUGUUUUGAGGGGAAAUUGAGCCUAUUGCUGGUUGUUGCAGUAAUUUUGCUCCUGCUCCCCUUCUAAUCACAUACGCUAUUCACAAAUAUUGAACGUGCAUUGUGCCGCAAGGUCACUAAUAAUAAUACAACUUUUAACAACGGAUCUCUUGGCUCUCGCAUCGAUGAAGAACGCAGCGAAAUGCGAUAAGUAAUGUGAAUUGCAGAAUUCAGUGAAUCAUCGAAUCUUUGAACGCAUCUUGCGCUCCCUGGCAUUCCGGGGAGCACGCCUGUUCGAGUGUCACGAAAUUAUUCAAGCUUUUUAGGGGUUUCCGCCCCUUUUUAGUCUUGGUUAUUGGGCUCUGCUGUGUCUUGCUUCAUUGCGGAAACGGCUGGCCUCAAAAUUAUCAGCUGAUCCUCACAUGGGCACCGGUUCUACUCAGCGUGAUAAUACUACUCAUCGCUGAGGACAUCCUUUGAGUCCAUUGCUUUGGGGGGUG